CUUGAUGUGUUCUGAAUAAUCUGAAAAUCUGGUCACGUCAGAUGUUAAAAUCACUGCCAGUCCACAAGAGAUCACUGCAACUUUGGCAUCCAUCACCAGAAAAAAGGUCAUCUUGACUGGCAUAUGGAAUGAAAGAGACAGAGAGGGAGCAAGAAUAGACUGGCACAGCAUAUUUUGCACUCCAGUUUACAUAAUGGCUGGCUGUAAGGGGAACAUUGCGGGAAACAUUGUGAAAGAGCAGUGUUGAUGGUUUUGAAACUCCUCUCCAAAGCCAUUAGUGAUUAGAUAAAGAGUGUAGAUGGACUUGUAAUGAUGCUCUCUCGCAUGUUCUCUCUCUUUAUCUCUCGCCUCAGCCAGAUGAAAGACAGCCAGAGCCUCACAAGGCCUUUGUUGUGGACAUUAUUUUACCCUUACAGGCACUGUAUGGCCACUGCACCACCUGCAAUUGCACCUGUUUGCUUUGAUCACUGGUUAUUGGUAAGAAAUAGCAACUUGAAUAAUGUGAGGGCUGAAAUAGAGUGCAGGAGAGCUAGUUCAGGCACUUGCGGUGUUACCAGAUUUGACUGAAAUUAAGUAGCCUAAUCAGAGCCUCAAAUCCGCCCAAUCAUCAUAAACUUAGCACAAUUUUUAAUUUUUUUUUUGUCCAUUAGACAUCUGAAUAUGAGUCCUAGGACUUGCCUUUGGCCUUUUGUUUUAUUAAUGUAAUACAUCCAAGGCCAAAACUUAAAUUAAACAUAAAAAGUCUUCACUUUGAAGAACAGAAAAUGAGCUUUUAGGAGUCUUUUAUCAUAGAGCUGACUGAAUAGUAAUUUAUAGUUGUAAUAAACUUUAAUGUAAUUUGGUAUCAUAUCAAUCAGUCACUGUGUGUUGAGCCUAUUACAAAAUAUUACAAAAAGUAGCCGGAAUUAUCACAAGCCGCCCGAAACCACUUUUACUUGUCCAAUUAAAUAAAAAAUAGCUCAAUUGGGCUUAAAGUAUGGCAACACUGGACUAGCAGCAUAACGUUACAUCUAAUGGACCCUUCCUUUAUUUGCUCCGCCAUGUUUAUGCUAUACUGCUACAACUGUUGGUUAUGUGGCAUUUAAGAAGCCUUAACGUGUCGCUUCGGUACGGCUUUCCAGAGGAAAUAACCGUGUUUCUGCUGCUUUCUCUGCUGCUGCUAACAGUUAGCUAAAGUUACAACUGUACACCAUUUCUCGGCCUCUGACGUUUAACGGUCAACGGCGCACUUCAAGCCAGAAGCUGGAGGUUACCUUUCCUGCUGUUACCAAUCCUUUAUCCAACUGCUUCACAACACCAUGUCAAGUGAGGAAAAUGUGGCAGCAGGGAAAGCACUCGACCAUGGGCUCCAUUCAGUAUGCACUUCCAGCUGACAGGCUGAUGAGCCGCAAUCAGCCCUCCCACUCUGACUGGUCCAUGCUGUGGCAAUGAUUGUUGCCACAGACACAUUUCCGAAAGGAUAUGAACGAAACUAACUAACUCCUCCAUCCUCACCUCAGGCGCCGAUUGUGAGUGGGAGAAUGGGGGAGGUGGAUGCAGGGAUGACACAGUGGCGCACAAGUGUCACAUCAUCCAUCAGUCUGUCACAGCCUGUCGCCCGGCUUCUCCCAGUGAUGCUGUCGAUCUGUAAACAAGAGAGAGAAACACCAGGCUUCCCGGAGUGCCAUGCAUGCAGACAGUCAGGGCAGGGCAAGCCUCUCUCACUAUGAAUCACACACUGGCAGAGGGCUGAUUUGACCAAAGCGGGGUUUUGAUCCACACAGCCAGGUGUGGAUGACUAAUGCCUCUGAAGAAUACUGCUUAUAAGCAACCGGCCGUGUUGGAAGCGUGAAAACAAUCAGUGGCCUUGUGACAUUUUCUAAUGAGGGAAUAACAUCGACUGAAAGAAACUGACAACAGGAGUUUUUCUGCUUCAACGCCUUGAAAAGAGCAGUCUGAUUGGCUUUUUUCACUAAAUAGUUAGAAAGGGUGUCCUCUGAUGUUUUUUAGUGCACUUUUUAUAAGCCUGGGUACUUAAAAAUGCUUAUUUUGAAUGGUGUUUACAGUAAGUUCUACAAUGUGUGUAUGUGUUUUUUUUUAAGAUACUAAGUAAUUAUGGAUGUUGAAGUGAUGACAUUAGCAAGAUGGAUUUUAUUGAUUGGCACCUAUGCUGUAGCUGCUGCCAGAUCUUAGGUGUCUGUGAAGUAAUUGGCUGCUGAUGGCCACAUUUAAAACCAUCCCUGCACCCUUUCAUCACCCACCGAGCCAAGCAGUAAUCAGUUAUGUGCUGGAUGUUGGAGGGUGGGGGAAGGGACUCGCUCAGUCCUUUAUUGCCCCUCUAAUUAUUUUCCCCAUCACAUGAUUAAUGUUGUCACUUUGAUCUUGUUCUGAGCCCAUUAGAUGAGAGACUCUGUGACAGAUGACACUGCUUGUACAGCGAGGGGUCAGCAAUAUUUGCUGCCCUGUCAUUUUUCUGGGCCUCGGAGACACCUCUGUCCUCCAGGAUGGGAGAACUCUGAGCCAGGCUUGUGGAGCUGGGCCUGUUGCCUGCCUGGUGGGGGGCUGCUGGCUGGGACAGGGCCAGGGCCAUGACUGGGGCCAAGCUAUUUAUGAACAGGACCAGGGAGGGUGCAGCUGGUGUUCCUGCUGUUGACAGUGUCACUGUGCCAGUGGAGCCCCUCCAGAACCAAUGAACUCUUUUAUAUCAAGACAAAACACCAUUAAGGACAGUAAUCAUUGUACAACCCAUGGCCAGAGCCUUGGCUGGGGACACGCAAGGACACAAAGUUUUACUUUGGCAGGAUUUUUUUUAUUUUGGGCAGACUGACAUAUUGAGCCAAUAUCAGGUUUUACACAAAAGUAAACAUUGCUCUGUCAAUAUGGCCUACUACUGAUGAGGUCAAGUUGAAGAAAUUACUUUCCUGAAAAGCUCAGUCAAAACUGUCUCACUCUGCCUUAAACAGCUGAUCAGCAACCUGAUAAUCACAUUACCAUGGGUAUCAAUGCAAAAGUUUUAAUUUCCCAUAAUGGUUUAAACUGUUUCAGAAGUUUUUCCACCCUGACAAAAAUACAUUGUAUAUAGAACAAUAGUUUUGUGAUUUGUUGGACAGAAAAUUGUCCAAAAUAAAUAGAAACUGAUCACACAACAUUUGAAGUCAUAUUAAGACGCUGUCAGUCAAUUGAGCUUCAUUCUUGACCUUGGAAACAGCAAUUGAGAAAACAAUCUCCACCACAACCACAAGGUCCCUUUUAGUAGCUGUUUUGGACACAUGAUCUCCAUCAGCAAAUGGAUUGUGGCCAAU